GUUACUGCCGAGGAAAGAUCGAACUGUGUUUUGCUCGGUAUAAGAGGAAUCAAAGAAUAUGGAGGCACCACAAACGAGUCUGUUGAUGGUUUUACUAUUUUGGUCGAAUUGCUCAGGGUAUGACUAUUUCAUUGACAGAUUCGGUUACAGAAAGUUUCAAGAUGUAACAACUAAAAAUUCAUUCACGAUUCAAUGUAAAUCGACAGAUCGGUUUUAUGUUGGUUUCUUUAAUAGUUCCAUCAUGUUCUUCGAAAUGUAUAUAACCAGCAGUGGAUAUAAUAAAGGAACAGAUCCCUCAGCUAUAGCUGCCAGUCUUAAUUUCUCCACCACAGAAUACAGAUCCUAUUGGUUUGAAUGGGGCACCGGAGUUGUUAACUUUGGUUUAGGGUCCGUUGUUGGAGAAAGUCAUUUUGGUGUUCUUCCUAUGAAUGGAAAUGUAAGCUAUGUGGGUUUCCGGUCGAUUGCAAAGGAGAACCUGUCAAUUAUCUUUCCUGAUUAUACGUUAUUUACUAGAACCUCUGGUUACAGACUUGAUGUAGAAUCAACGACUUUUACUGAAAGAAGUCGCAUUUUAUGUUGUAAAGCCUGUAUGGCCAACACUAGAUGCUAUGCUUUUAAGUACAGAAGAAACCAUGGUUAUGACAAUUGUCAGACUAUUGAUAAAAAGGCAUUUAAAUCAGGAACGACUACAUUUUUCCCUUUUAGUACAGUAGCCGACACUGAAUGGUCUUAUUACUUUAAUCGAUUAAAUUGAUUUAAAUAUAUGUAAUGGAAUGAAAGGUAGAGGCAUAUGUUAUGCUUCCAACUAUUGAAGAAACCGCAGUAAUUACAAAUGACUGAAAAUUGCCACACAACAAAACCAGAACAUUUGUGACAAUUCCUUUCAUAACAGCGGGAGAUCAGAUCCUCAGCUAGAUUUUUCACGAACUCGACUGAUAACAUUAAC